rnacentral:lncRNA from 1 species
GUUUCUGAUUAUAUAGACUGGAGGAUAACCAUGCCUUUCACAGUGUCUAUUUCCUUGUAAGAUAACAUCAUUUGCAGCAUUUUGAAAUAACGAACUUGUUCUUUUUUAUAUGUCUAGAUUAGGGCGAUACUUGUUCUUCUCCCAGCUAAAUGAGGCAAAAGGAAAUUCUAAUAGGCCCUGGGAAAAGUAAUUAAUGGGUCAGAACAGCCUCAUCCAUUUCUUUUGAGCAGUGCUCCCUGCAUGAGUGAACUGUAGGCAAAAUCCCCUCUCUUGCCUGCUCUCCAAUCAUCAAGUGUGUGAUGCCACUUCUGGGGAUCAGGACCUUCUAGACAACUUAGAGUUCCUUCAAGUCGGUAGAAGGCUGGAAGCAGAGGAUGAUGUUGAUCCUGAUAUAUGCAUUGGAAAAAAUAAAUUAGAGAAUACAACACAAUACAUCGAACCCCUGGUAGAUACUCCAAGAAGCUGAAAUAAUCCAGAUCAUCUUUAUCUAGGUGUGUCUUUAAGACGUCACAAGUUCCUAAAAGAUGGUGCUAUUUACUGUGCCUAGAAGAUAUAAAGAAUAAGGAUUAAGCCUCAAACACUCCUUUGCAUCCCACCACUUCAGCAAAGCCUUCCAACCCAGAACUCCAUGAUGAAGAUGUCCCUCUUGCUAUCUCAUCUGUUUGUGUCAUUUUCCUGUGUUUUGCAUUUGUUUGAAAGCUCUUUAAU